rnacentral:rRNA from 1 species
CGGAGGGUGCAAACGUUGCUCGGAAUCAUUGGGCGUAAAGCGAACGUAGGCGGCUAUGUAAGUCGGGUGUGAAAGCCCAGAGCUCAACUCUGGAAGUGCAUUCGAAACUGCAUGGCUUGAGUAGCGGAGAGGAUAGCGGAAUUCCCGGUGUAGAGGUGAAAUUCGUAGAUAUCGGGAGGAACACCAGUGGCGAAGGCGGCUAUCUGGACGCAUACUGACGCUGAAGUUCGAAAGCGUGGGGAGCAAACAGGAUUAGAUACCCUGGUAGUCCACGCCGUAAACGAUGAGUGCUAGGUGUCGCGGGUAUUGACCCCUGCGGUGCCGCAGUUAACGCAUUAAGCACUCCGCCUGGGGAGUACGGUCGCAAGACUA